rnacentral:rRNA from 1 species
CCUACGGGAGGCAGCAGUGGGGAAUAUUGGACAAUGGGCGAAAGCCUGAUCCAGCAAUGCCGCGUGAGUGAUGAAGGCCUUCGGGUCGUAAAGCUCUUUUACCAGGGAUGAUAAUGACAGUACCUGGAGAAUAAGCUCCGGCUAACUCCGUGCCAGCAGCCGCGGUAAUACGGAGGGAGCUAGCGUUGUUCGGAAUUACUGGGCGUAAAGAGUACGUAGGCGGUUAUUCAAGUCAGAGGUGAAAGCCCGGGGCUCAACCCCGGAACUGCCUUUGAAACUAGAUAACUAGAGUCUUGGAGAGGUUAGUGGAAUUCCGAGUGUAGAGGUGAAAUUCGUAGAUAUUCGGAAGAACACCAGUGGCGAAGGCGACUAACUGGACAAGUACUGACGCUGAGGUACGAAAGCGUGGGGAGCAAACAGGAUUAGAUACCCUGGUAGUCCACGCCGUAAACGAUGAUAACUAGUUGUUCGGUCACUUGGUGACUGAGUGACGCAGCUAACGCAUUAAGUUAUCCGCCUGGGGAGUACGGUCGCAAGAUUAAAACUCAAAAGUAUAAGUACGGACGNGAGAACGUAGCGACGAGACACACGGAGGUAAGG